CAGCAGCCACGGUAAUACAGAGGGUGCAAGCGUUGUUCGGAAUCAUUGGGCGUAAAGGGCGCGUAGGCGGUCUGUCAAGUCGGAUGUGAAAGCCCAGGGCUCAACCUUGGAAGUGCAUCCGAAACUGGCAGACUAGAAUCUCGGAGAGGGUGGUGGAAUUCCCAGUGUAGAGGUGAAAUUCGUAGAUAUUGGGAGGAACACCGGUGGCGAAGGCGACCGCCUGGACGAAGAUUGACGCUGAGGCGCGAAAGCGUGGGUAGCAAACAGGAUUAGAUACCCCGGUAGUCCCUGUCUCUUAUAC
rnacentral:rRNA from 1 species